rnacentral:lncRNA from 1 species
AGGACCAUAAAUAUUAUGUCUAAAUUUUAUUAUUAGCAUAGAAGAGUUUAAUCCAUUAGGUGCAUUACAAGAUUUUAAUCCCAUCUUCAGCCCCUCUUCCAAAAGACAUGUAAAACCAGAACAGGGGAAGAUUUUGUUCACAAACAUCUAAAGUUGGUAAAGUUAAGAAAAUAUUAUUUUCAGUAAAAUAAAAUAAAAUAGAGAGAAGAUAUAUAGAUGAAGUUGAGGACUAUUUAUAAAGGAUCAUAAUUUAUCCAUCUUUUGAACAUAACAAAACAUUCUUCAGGUUUGUCUGUACAAGCUGUGUGUCCUGAUCCCUAUUAAACAAAAAUAAAAAUAAAUGCAAAGUUAAAUACAAAUAUAAAAUAAAAAUAAAGCUCUUUAAAUAUAACUCAAUCUGGCUAAAUUGACACAAUAAUUACUUCUCAAUUUUCAUGUAAUUAACUUAUUUCUAAAAUUAAUUUCAUACCUUCACUGUUGCGUAAGUCAUUUUGUUGGAGUAAGAUCUCGUAUAACUACAAUGAUACGAUAUUAGAAAAAUGAUUUAAGUAUUAUCAACUAACAUACUAAUUAGUUUUAAUUAAAAAAUCAUAAUUGUAAUUAAGGAUGUAAAAUUUGGAGAUUAAUUACCCAGCAACUUGAUUGUUUACGUUCCAUUGACGCCAAUCAUCAUCAAUAGAGUAGUUUAGAGACUUUAUCCAUGUUUGUGUGUCUUGAAAAGGUACCAUAUAAUCAUGAUCUCCACUGUUAAAUUAAACAUAAAAAGAAAAAACUUCCAUUAUAUAUAUAUUCAUGAAAUAAGUUGUUAUCUGUUGGAAAGCUAUAUUUGAUGAUAAGGAAGGAACCAAUGGACCUCCUUUAAAGUUUUAUGACACAUUUGUGAACAAUUAAAUCCCAUAUCUCCAAAUACAAAUAUGUGCACAAAAUUGAAAGAGAGGUAGCCAAAUUGGUCGUCUUGUGAAAGAGAAUCAUAAGAAAUGGAAGGAACUUCUUUCGAGUCCUGGCUUCAUGAGUAACUACAUUGAUAACUUCAUUCAAGACUUGCAUGGGCUUCUAGUUGAAAAGACUAGAUAAUUAGCAGAAUGAAUCUAAUGUUGAAGUUACGAGGUUGACAGAAUUCAGUGAAUUGUGUUGAGAAAUUUUGCUUAAUAUGUAUGAAUCUAUAGACUCAAAACUGUCUAUCUAGUGAUGUAACUUGCAUUAUUCGAAUGUUUUCAUGCCAUGUUUAGGAGUUAUACACCUUCAUCUCAAAUUUGGAGUUUUUUUUUUAAGAUAACAUUUUUACCUCUAAAUGCACUUUCUGAACACUCAAAGGAGUCUAGGAAAAAGGACCAUAAAUAUUAUGUCUAAAUUUUAUUAUUAGCAUAGAAGAGUUUAAUCCAUUAGGUGCAUUACAAGAUUUUAAUCCCAUCUUCAGCCCCUCUUCCAAAAGACAUGUAAAACCAGAACAGGGGAAGAUUUUGUUCACAAACAUCUAAAGUUGGUAAAGUUAAGAAAAUAUUAUUUUCAGUAAAAUAAAAUAAAAUAGAGAGAAGAUAUAUAGAUGAAGUUGAGGACUAUUUAUAAAGGAUCAUAAUUUAUCCAUCUUUUGAACAUAACAAAACAUUCUUCAGGUUUGUCUGUACAAGCUGUGUGUCCUGAUCCCUAUUAAACAAAAAUAAAAAUAAAUGCAAAGUUAAAUACAAAUAUAAAAUAAAAAUAAAGCUCUUUAAAUAUAACUCAAUCUGGCUAAAUUGACACAAUAAUUACUUCUCAAUUUUCAUGUAAUUAACUUAUUUCUAAAAUUAAUUUCAUACCUUCACUGUUGCGUAAGUCAUUUUGUUGGAGUAAGAUCUCAUAUAACUACAAUGAUACGAUAUUAGAAAAAUGAUUUAAGUAUUAUCAACUAACAUACUAAUUAGUUUUAAUUAAAAAAUCAUAAUUGUAAUUAAGGAUGUAAAAUUUGGAGAUUAAUUACCCAGCAACUUGAUUGUUUACGUUCCAUUGACGCCAAUCAUCAUCAAUAGAGU